UGACAUCCAAUCUAGACCUUCCCUCCUUGAGCUUAAAACCAUUCCCCCUUGUCCUAUCAUUAUCUACCAGAGUAAAAAGUUGAUUCCUCUCCUUUGAAUGAAACAAUCUUCACAUUGUGUUGUUAAUGUUUUUUCUUGACCCUGAAGCAUGGUAACUCACCUCUCUGAGCUGCACUUUUCAGCAUCUUAACUGGACUUAAAGCCUUUUGAGGCUGCCUUCUGAGGCAGACUCUAUUUUGGAUUGGACAUGCUUUAGCCAAAACUCAAGACUUGAAUACCUUGUAUCUAAGUAUUGAACAAAGGAGUCUUGGAACACAUAAUGUCCACACGAAUAUAACUUCAAACAAAAUAAAAAAAAAUAAAAAAUCAAGGGUGACAAAUGAUAAACCUGCUAAUAUUUGCCUGACAGAAAGAAAUGAAAGUGCAUCUUAAAGAUGACAUACAGAGCAAAUGGUUGUUUCACACAAAAAAAUGCCAGUAUUUCACCAGCACUCUCUAAAUUGCAGUCUACCAUUCUUCUUUUCUGUGAAACUGUAUGUGAGUAUCUAAACUAAAAAAAAGGAAAAUAAAUGCUCAAGGGAGAACUUCCUCACCUAGCAUAAAUGCAAAACCUGUGAAGCUAAUAUUAUUAGCACACCAGGGUCAGUAACUUCCCAUUCACAUAUAUAUACAUUUCUUUUCUGCAGAAUGUUUUGUAUCACAAAGUUAACCUCUCACCUACAUAAGAGUUAAGAAAAUGGGUGACUGUGUAACAAAUUUCUGUGUGUUCAUCCCAUUUAAAGCCGAACGGUACUCUGCAUCAUUUCUGAUGUAUGAAAGCGAGGUGUCGUUUCUUAGGACAAACAAGGUCAGAUCCUCUCUGCUGAGAUAUUUUGUCACAGUUUGGUGAAGGUCUGAGCACAGAUUUUUACAUGUUCUUUUUAAUUUCUCUUUUGCGUGCCUGAAGACUUCAUGUUUUGCUCAUGUGGUUGUGGGGUCUGAACCGAAUUCCUUCUCUAGUUCAGUGAUGGUGCACUGUAGCAAACUAGGUAGAUGAGCAUGCAACACCUUUGCACUUUCUUGAUUUGGGAGUGGACUUUGGAGUCAUGCUGGGACCAUGCAAGAUAGCUGAAACCCCCUUGACCUCCACCAAGCCUCUUCCAUUCCUCCUUCGGCCAGUGAGUUGGUGGUGUAGGAUCAGUAUUGAGUCAUCCAUUUUGGACUGGGGGCUCUGCAGCCCAUGCUUGCCUACAGACUUGCGCUGCAGGAGCCUGGAGAUUGGUCCUGUGAAUUUAAGAAAUUGAACUUGUUUAUUAGUGCUUUAAAAAAUACUGAAGGAACAUAAGACCUUGGGCUGACCUCUAUGCACAAGUUCUGCUGUUUGCAGUGAGUACAGAAGGUUGCUUGGAGGGAGAUCAAGGAGCAAGACCCCCAGCUGAUUGCUUUUGUGGCUUGUGACCGAAUCCCACUAAAAACAACUGUGAUUUAUUUCAACUGCAUAACAAUAUUACAAAGCAAUAAAAAUAAAGGCUAUAUAUAAAAUAAUGGCUUUACAAACCUGCUGGCGCCUGAGUGAAGACUCUUUCUCUCAGUGUGGGGAGAGACUUUAAAUACCAUGAGAGAGUCCGAUGUACCACCAGGUUAUGCUACACUAUUCGUUUCCAUUAGGCAAGUCAUUUUUUCCUUUCCUUGGCCAUUGCAACUUUGUUAUGCUAAUAAACACACUUAUGUGAUGGGACCUAAUCUAAACAAAGAUUGACACUGGACACAUCCAGAAUGGAACAUCUGUGUCUCAUCACAGCCAGAGGUCUCUUCUCUCACCCUCUCAUCUUUACAACAUAUCAGUACUCUUCGGCAGGGCUUUCUUCAAGUCUCAAACAUUUGUUUGUUAUUUCCAUCAUUGUUAUUUAUUUAUUUCUUUAUUAUUAGUUGUAGUUUAUUAGUUUUUUUAAUUAGUUUGUAAAAGACAGACAAUCUCUGUUCAGAAGAGAAGGGAAAGGAAUUUCAAGUGUACGGAAAACUGGAGAAAAACAAUGUGGAGAAGAGGAAUUAUGGUUGUGGGAUAGAAAUCAUUUGUUGACAUCCUCCUUCUCAAAAGAUUCAGAACUGUCUUAUAAACCGAUUAGGGAUCACUAUUCUGUAAACUACAGUGCUGUGAACUAUGGGGAAAUACAGAAUGGUUGUGGCUGCCCUAUCACUGCACAGUACGGGGACUGUUGGUGGUUGCUGCCCCAAACACAAGUUCAGCAGGGGAAGGCUGAGCACAUCGAUCAAUUGCUCAGAGUUUCAAAAGCCUGUUUCUGUGAAAAGCGCAAUGGAACAUGCUGUUGAGAUCUCAGCUUUUUGUCUUUGCUAUUUAUUAUUAUUAUUAUUAUUUUAGUCCCCAUCUGGAGCACUGCAUCCAGGCCUGGGCCCCCAACUCAAGAAUGAUGUGGAGCUGUUGGACUGGGUCCAGAGGAGAGCCAUGAAGAUGAUCAGAGGGCUGGAGCGCCUCUCCUAUGAAGAAAGGUUGAUAGAGCUGGGCUUGUUCAGCCUGGGGAAGACUCCAGGGAGAUCUCACUGCAGCCACUCAGAACUUGAAGGCAGUUUAUAAGCAGGAGGAGGACUGACUUUUACAUGGUCUGAUAGUGAUAGGACAAGGGGGAAUGGUUUUAAACUAAAAGGAGGGAGAUUUAGGCCAGAUACUGGGGAGAAAUUGUUUAUUCAGAAGGCGGUGAGACAUUGGAAUGGGCUACCCAGAGAAACUGUGAAUGCCUCAUCCCUGUAGGUGUUCAAAGACAGGUUGGAAGGGACCCUGGUCAGCCUGAUCUAGUGGCUGGCAACCCUGCCCACAGCAGGGGUGUUGGAACAGGAUGGUCUUUAAGAUCCCUUCCAAACUAAGCCAUUCCAUGGUUCUAUGUUUUGGAAUAGUCUGGAAGUUGCUAUGAAGCAGCAAAAAUCAAAUGAGCUGCUUUUCCUCAUACAUACUGUCAAGUGCUGGUUUGCUAUGAAAAAAACUGGAGUUGCAUGCAAUUUAUUCUCACACACCCCUAGGCCCACAUUUAGCAAUACACAAUAACCUGCUCUCGUUGCUGGAUUUGCUGCUCAGCUGGCCUCCCUUGUGACUGUCCAGGGGCAAAUGGAGAUGACAAUGGGGAGUGCCUGUUGUUGGAGAAGAGUGCCUGAGGGUGGUGAUGCCUGAAUAAAGUGGCCCCUGCUUGAAUAUUGCUACGCGGGGGGUUUGGUUCAUCUUCGACUCAGCGACAGUUUCCUGCAUACCAAGAUACCAGCAACAUUUUCUGUAGCGCUUGUUUUUUUUUAUGAUGAUUUUCUGUCUAAGGUUCAAACAAUGUUGAUGCUGAUAAAUUAUUCACAGAGGGAAUGUAUACACACAGCAUCCUCCCACCCGAGGCUGUACUGCUGCAUGAAUCCCAACCUGAUGGAGGGGUGGUGGAAUGGACCACAGUGCAGGGAAAGCAGCAAGAGCUUUGCAGACCAGUAAUCUGGAUAGGACUGGGGGUAAAGCCUCAUGGCAGGCAGCCAGUGCUGACUCCUAAUAGACCCAAAGUGUUUACUGGAUCUGUGUGUUUAAUAGAGACAUCAUGUUCUCUGCCCUGAUUUCUUAUGGCAGCCUACUAUUAAAUUCACCCCAGAUAUUAGCACAAUGACAAUUUAAUAACAUAUUGCAUAAUUAUUACAAACUAUCUAGAACACUAUAGACAUACAUAUUACACUAUACAGAAUUAACGUAUUAUUUUAGAAAAGCUUCCUUUGCCAUUCUCCAGUAAUAUUGGUCUUGGUAAAAGUAUAAAUGGCAAUUAUGAAUGCAUUUUAAAGCAAAAUAUUUGAUGCUUGCUUUAUUCUUCACACGAGUGAGGAGGAAAAUGAGGAGGAGGGGAAGAAGGAGAAAAAAGGAGAAGGAGAAGGAAAGAGAAGGAGAGCACAGUGCUUUUCCCUUCCACUUUGCAUUUAAUUUAAAUUGCAAAUCUAGCCAGUUCUGUGAUGAAAAUACAAACUCUGACAGCCGUUGUGUGUGACUCAAAGGUCUUGGAUGGAUAGAUGCAGGGCCUAACCUUUAAUCUGCCUCACUUGCUCCUCCAGGAUAUUUUUCAAAAGCUGUUUUUCUGCACUCUAAUAUCCUGCCAGUCAUAAUUUGUAUUUCUGAACUCAUGAAAGAACCGUUUCCUGUCUCCACUGAAAAAAGAGAGGAAAAAGUAUUUAAAGUCAGAACUAGAUUUUCUAUUAAAGCCUACUAUGGGAAACAAAAGCCACAGGCUUUUGUUUUUUGUUUUUUUUUCCACCACAGGCUUGGCUCCGUGACACUGACUGCAGGCAGGAAGUGUUAACAAGUUGUGCUCAGGGCUACACUCCCCUUUCUAUCAAAGCACCAGCCUGCACGCUCACACCGUGAGGCGAUUGGUGACCCAUGACGGAGCUCACCAGCACAGCCCUAUAUCACAGGCCCACCCCUUGUGUGGGCCUGAAGCCCCAUGGCCAGAAGUUAAUUGUUGAUAUGAAGGCCUCGCCUUGGCACUGAUGUGGGACAGGCUGGAUUCAUGUACAAAUAUGCGAGGCAGAGCAGUCUGCUCACUUACAUUUAGCAUGAAACCCUGUGUCUGAGGACUUUUUUGAGGAAAAUGAAUGAAAUACUCCCUCCAAAGGUCUGUCCUCUAACAGCAAGACUUUGGUUUCUUUGCCACUUCCUCUCUUUCAGUGCUGACUGAUCAGGUGCUUACCUUCACAAAACUAUCAGACAAUUUCGUUAUUGUUCCCUAAGAGGAGAAAUUAAAAAAUAAAGAUGCAAAGUGGCUGAAACAAAUUGUAGUAUCUGGAAUGGAAGACCUGCUGCUGGAUCCUGCAACACUGCUGAGCAGCAGUCCUCAUGCUGCCGGAGCCAGCGGGAACUGAAAAAAACACAAGAAAUAUCUGCAUUUUGUACAGCUGAUGUUACUGAAGAAGUUCCACUGGUGUAUGGAUGCAUCUACCUGUAAGAUGACCAAGUUUAAUGUAUAUUAUUGAGCCAUUACUGUGGAUCCCCUUCAUAAAAUAGAUUGCUGAUGAAAGUAGACAUCUAAAUGAUGAUUUCUUCCUGUGUCAAACUACAGCAAAAUAAUUACAGGCUUACAUAGAGACAGUAAAUAAUGUGGUUUCAAGAAAA